AUUCAACUGACGAGUCCCAAAAAGGACGAAACGCGCGUCCUGGAU
rnacentral:hammerhead_ribozyme from 1 species